GGAACUGUGCCUGAAACAAAGGACCAUUUUGAUAGAAUGAAUCAUAGGGGUUAAAUUCCCCUCAGCUCCU
rnacentral:tRNA from 1 species